AUGGGUAGAUGUAAACCAACAUACUAAACUCAUGAUUUUAGUCUACUGCAAUGAAUAUAUGUAAAUGGGUUGGCUAUAUUCAAUACGCCCAACUUCAUGUAAGGUUUGUAUAAUAAUACACACAAGGCUUAGAAUGAAGAGAUAUGAAGUAAGGAGGAUGAUCCUUCCGAUCUAGUACAUCUACAUCUACUUCAACUGUCGCGUCAAUACCGUUGCAAAGGAGGGUAGCUACGGUAACCAACAUCCUGAAUCCACGACAGAGGUCUGUCCUCACCAACCAAUUAUCAAGGUAGACUGGUAGGCCUUGGCAACAAUGUCGGCUCCUCAACAGCAGGAACAAAGCAGAGCCCUGUGUGCAAACCCUGGGAAUCCUGUUUUCUCAUGUAUGAUGACCCCAGUGGUUAAAAACAAUUCACAUGUGACAUGGGCAAAGCCUCAAAGCCCCUUCUACAAGACCACCUCAAGUGACUAUGGCGUUAGUCCUCCAACAUUUGAAUCAUCACCCUGUACCUACCACCCACUUUCACAAAGAUUCACAGAAAACCUUGGGAACUGUGGGAUGUUACGUGACAACUCCUUCAAUACAAGUCUUGAUCGAAGCAGGGUAUAUGACUGCCCUAAUUUGCAAAACACUAUCUGAUUUGAUUGACAUGGUAUAACAUUGUCUUAGUGUUGAUUAAACUACCUGGUGGACCUUCACUCCAUUGACAAUGAUUGGUGUCCUGAAAAUGCAUAAAAGCUGUACAUUUAAGUUAUACAAUAUGCAUGUUGUAUCUUUCUACUUACACACAAAUUAAAGCAUAGUAUUACUUGCAC